GGGGAUAUCUUUAGUUACGGGCGAGUGAAAGGGAUGAGCCCAGCGCUGAAUCUCUCGGUCUAAGGCCGCUGAGAACUGUAGCGUAUAGGUUUGACUGUCUGUUUGCUAUGUAUUCUCCAAGUUCCUUUGAUAGGGGCUAGUUCAGUCCCGAGAGGGUGCUAGACCUGUGCGAGAAUUGUAGUGAGCAGUUGGUUGUUCCUUGGAGUCGUGUUGCUUGAAAGUGCAGCAUAAAGUAGGUGAUAGACUUCAUCUAAGGCUAAAUAUAACCAUGAAUUCGAUAGCUAACAAGUACCGCGAGGGAAAGUUGCAAAGAACUUUGAAGAGAGAGUUCAAGAGAACGUGAAAUCGCUGGAGUAUGCGGAGAGAGUUGACGUAACCCGGUAGCUAAGUUGUUCUUCGGAGCGAUGGUGCUGCUUAUGGUUGCAUUGGUGGCGUUGGUUAGCAACGACAGCUGCGUAGUUUAGCCCACUUCGGUGGUGUCUAGCUUGUGGUCUUGUUGUUGUCGGCUAGCGUGUAAGCCCUGUUCACAGGGUGCCAAUGUCCUAGUCGACCACCUCUCUGACCCGUCUGGAACACGGAUAAA
rnacentral:rRNA from 1 species